CUAAGUUUGAUGGCGACCGGCGCACGGGUGAGUAACACGUAUCCAACCUGCCGAUGACUCGGGGAUAGCCUUUCGAAAGAAAGAUUAAUACCCGAUGGCAUAGUUCUUCCGCAUGGAGGAACUAUUAAAGAAUUUCGGUCAUCGAUGGGGAUGCGUUCCAUUAGGUUGUUGGCGGGGUAACGGCCCACCAAGCCUUCGAUGGAUAGGGGUUCUGAGAGGAAGGUCCCCCACAUUGGAACUGAGACACGGUCCAAACUCCUACGGGAGGCAGCAUG
rnacentral:rRNA from 1 species